GACGAACGCUGGCGGCGUGCUUAACACAUGCAAGUCGAGCGGUAAGGCCCUUUCGGGGGGUACACGAGCGGCGAACGGGUGAGUAACACGUGGGUGACCUGCCCUCAGCUCUGGGAUAAGCCUGGGAAACCGGGUCUAAUACUGGAUAUGACUCCAUGACACAUGUUGUGGGGUGGAAAGCCUUGUGCGGCUGAGGAUGGGCCCGCGGCCUAUCAGCUUGUUGGUGGGGUGANGGCCUACCAAGGCGACGACGGGUAGCCGGCCUGAGAGGGCGACCGGCCACACUGGGACUGAGACACGGCCCAGACUCCUACGGGAGGCAGCAGUGGGGAAUCUUGCGCAAUGGGCGAAAGCCUGACGCAGCGACGCCGCGUGAGGGAUGACGGCCUGGUU
rnacentral:rRNA from 1 species